GACGAACGCUGGCGGCGUGGAUUAGGCAUGCAAGUCGAACGGUAUCAUCCUUUCGGGGGUGAGAGAGUGGCGAACUGGUGAGUAACACGUAGGUUAUCUACCCUCAAGACGGGGACAACCCAGGGAAACUUGGGCUAAUACCGGAUGUGAGCAACUUUUAGUUGUUUGAAAGGUGGCGUAAGCUGUCGCUUGGGGAUGAGCCUGCGUCCUAUUAGUUAGUUGGUGAGGUAACGGCUCACCUAGGCAAUGAUAGGUAGGCGGCCUUAACGGGUGGUCGCCCACACUGGGAUUGAGAUACGGCCCAGACUCCUACGGGAGGCAGCAGUCGAGAAUAGUCUACAAUGGUCGGAAGACUGAUAGUGCGACGCCGCGUGAACGAUGAAUCCCUUCGGGGUGUAAAGCUCUUUUACCGGGGACGAUAAUGACGGUACCCGGAGAAUAAGUCCCGGCUAACUUCGUG
rnacentral:rRNA from 1 species